rnacentral:rRNA from 1 species
UACGGAGGGGGCGAGCGUUAUUCGGAAUUAUUGGGCGUAAAGGGCGCGUAGGCGGCUUGGCAAGUGGAUGGUGAAAUCCCUCGGCUUAACCGAGGAACUGCCGUCCAAACUGCUUCGCUUGAGACCGGGAGAGGUGAGUGGAAUUCCCAGUGUAGCGGUGAAAUGCGUAGAUAUUGGGAGGAACACCAGUGGCGAAGGCGGCUCACUGGCCCGGUACUGGACGCUGAGGUGCGAAAGCGUGGGGAGCAAACAGG